rnacentral:rRNA from 1 species
CGUGUAGGCGGUUCGUUAAGUCGGGUGUGAAAGCCCGGGGCUCAGCUCCGGAAGUGCGUCCGAAACUGGCGAGCUGGAGCGCGGUAGAGGAGGGUGGAAUUCCUGGUGUAACGGUGAAAUGCGUAGAUAUCAGGAGGAACACCGGCGGCGAAGGCGGCCCUCUGGACCGUUGCUGACGCUGAGACGCGAAAGCGUGGGGAGCAAACAGGAUUAGAUACCCUGGUAGUCCACGCUGUAAACUAUGGGUACUAGGUGUUCGGGGUGUUGACCCCCUGAGUGCCGACGCUAACGCAUUAAGUACCCCGCCUGGGGACUACGGCCGCAAGGUUAAA